UACGAAGGGGACUAGCGUUGUUCGGAAUCACUGGGCGUAAAGCGCACGUAGGCGGAUCAUUUAGUCAGGGGUGAAAUCCCGGGGCUCAACCUCGGAACUGCCUUUGAUACUGAUGGUCUCGAGUCCGAUAGAGGUGGGUAGAAUUCCUAGUGUAGAGGUGAAAUUCGUAGAUAUUAGGAAGAAUACCGGUGGCGAAGGCGGCCCACUGGAUCGGUACUGACGCUGAGGUGCGAAAGCGUGGGGAGCAAACAGGAUUAGAAACCCUAGUAGUCC
rnacentral:rRNA from 1 species